rnacentral:rRNA from 1 species
UACGUAGGAGGCGAGCGUUGUCCGGAAUUACUGGGUGUAAAGCGCGCGCAGGCGGUGCGGUAAGUCCAUGGUGAAAGCGCCCGGCUUAACUGGGCGAGUGCCGUGGGGACUGCCGUGACUCGAGUCCGGUAGGGGAGUGUGGAAUUCCCGGUGUAGCGGUGAAAUGCGCAGAUAUCGGGAGGAACACCAGUAGCGAAGGCGGCACUCUGGGCCGGUACUGACGCUGAGGAGCGAAAGCGUGGGGAGCGAACAGG